AAUAAAAUAUUUUGUUUAAUAAAUUUUCAAAGUGAAAUUGAUAAUUGGGCUUGGGCCUUGAGCCCAUCUGGCCCAUGGGCCAACUUGGGUGAAACGAAAUGGGUCGAGAGAGGGGGGCAUAUAUUCAGUUCACGGCAAUCUUUUUUUCUCUCCUUCUUUAAUCUCUGACCCUUCUCUUACUCUCCCUCUAUUUUUCAGUUUCCACCUUUUUGGAGAAUUCUAAUUUCUCUUUGCCCCUCAGAUCCUGACAAAUCCAAUUUUCAGUUGUGCAAAUCGCUCUUUUCUUUAAGACCCCUCAUUUUGAUUAGGUCAAACCAACUCCAUUCAAUUCCAAGAAACCGACUUUCUCGCAACACCCAUCUCGAAAUUUCAUCCGGUUGCUAAGGAGUUUUACAGGAUACAAGUCUUUUUGGCUGGGAAUGGACCCAAUCCCACAUAUUAUGAAAAGAUAUAUCUGAAUAAUUUCCUGUCAGAGAUUCACUAGUUUGAAAAUGGAGUUGAGCCAACCUUGGCUUUAAGUCAUUCAUGCUAUUAACAAAUACCUUUAAGCAGCAUAUGACUGAUAAGAUAGGAUAUGAAGAUAUAUCACUUUUGUAAUAUGAUCCCUUGAAUAUUAUAUCUCGAAUCUCAAUUUAAAAUUUUCUUAUCUCAUAUAGAACAUAGUAUAUCACACCAUUUAUCGUAUUUCAUUCUAGAAGAAAUAAUGGUAUAAUUUAUUUUAUUACAUCAUUGAUCAAAUAUGAGAUAUGAGAUAGAAUAUGCAAUCGGAUGUCUUAUUAUAUCAUAUGUUGUAUCCCAUCAAUCAAAUAAAGCUAUCAUUAUGACGUGUUUGGCACUUGGUAUAAGAAUAGAAAUGAAGGUGAAUCAAAGUAGAAUAAGAGAAGAAUCAAAAUCAUAAAUAGCAGAGUUUUGGGUUCCACAGAAUCAAUUUUUAUAUCUAGUUUCAUUUCUAAUUUUACUCGGAGCAAUUGUUGUUUUUAGUAUUUAAAGUUAAUUUCACUCACCUCCUUGUUGGUUGAAUACAUCUAAACCUUGUUGAUUUUGAAAUUUUAUCAAACACUUUAUUUAUUUCGAGUGAAAUGGAAAAUAUGUGAAAAUGAUAAAGAAGUUGUAGACCCAUUUUGUGAGGGGCUCGGGGGGAGAGUUUUCUGGACUUCUUUGCAUUUCUUUUUUUUAAAUAAGGAGGGGGACCCCUUUUUCUCCUAGAGGGAAGCCGGAUCGGACGGGCAGCAAAGGAGCAAGGAGGCCAUGCUGCUGAUGGAGGAACAGGAAAACAAGUAGGGGCUUGCCAAGGAAGAUAGGAACAGAGGCUUGGCUGGGGGAAGAAGAGAGCUGAGGGUGAGUGGGGGGGACACAGGGAAGAGAGGCAAGCAGGAGGAGGGAUCUUUUUGCUGAUUGCUUGUGAGUAUUGCUCUGUUUCGGCUCCCUUUCACAUUUUCUUAUUCUUUUGUUGCAAAAUGAUUCAUGUUUGGUCUCAAGGUGGUGAUUGAUGGUCAUACAUUAGUUUAUUUUCCGUUCGUUCAAUUGGUUUUUCAAUCUGUUGAUAAUGCAUGAAGUGAGGUUACAACGAUUAAAUCCUCAGACCUCUCAUCCUUGCUCGGUUCCUUAGCAAUCUCUUUCUUCAUACCUCUCAUGCUACCAACCUCCUGUUCAUGCACACGUGAACUGCACAUCCACUCCUACCCUCCAUUUUUCCUCCUCAUUUUCCUCCCGUUUUCUCACUCCUCAAAACACCAGAAGAAGACGUCUACCAAGAUAGCAGCCGGAGAUGCUCAAAACUCCAACUCCACUUCGAGCCUAACGCCAAAGCUCCAAAAUCCUAGCAAUGGAGAGCCCCGGAUGCAGUUCUGGGAGCAUGAGGCUCUCUUACGGCGCUCCGACGAGUCCCAUGCACCUCGAAUUCUACGUGACGGCGUCGCCAUCAACUCUCCCCUCAUCGUCGCCAUCCCUUGAAGCCACUCUACACAGGCCGCCUGCUACAGGAACUCGGUGGUAGUGGCAUUGUCGACGACGCACGUGGCGAACUCUCCCCCAGACGGCCAGGUUCGACCGAGGAAGCUCCUCACGCGCCUAUAAAGGCCGCAGCUGCUAGCCCCACUCUCAGACACCGACACCAGGCCGCCGCUGCUGGCUCCACUUCCGGAUGCCGACAUUGGAACAUGACGACAAACACGGCAUAUGCGGCAGCAAUCGAGGCGGCGCGGAGGGUUGGCAGCUUGGACCAACUUCGAAGACCUCCGGCGAUGCCUCUCUCACCUCCAUUCCCUCCGUCGUCGUCGCCUGAGGUGAAGAAGAAGAGCAUGUGAUGAAAGGCCCAAAGGGAGAUGAGAAUCAACUUGGGCCUUAGUGGGCUGGAUUAGAUGAAAGGUCCAAGUUUGUCUUGAAGGUAGUGGGUGCCUUGGGCUUGCCCAUUGAUGUCAUUGGACUUGGGCUUGAGUUGGCGUCCAGGCCCAGUUCGUGUGGAUGAAGGGCCUUAUGCUAAUCCUUCAAAAAUCCCUUGUUUUAAUUUAAUUCUUCAAAUAUUUGUUUAAAUCUUAUUUUCAUAAAUCGAAUCAUUAUCCCAUAUUUAUUAGUUA